GGAUAUUAUCAGGUGAAUUUAUCUCUUCUAGGAAUGGAUCCAUUAUCACAAAUUGCACCCUACAGUACGAAAACACCACCACACCGCUCACUGAGUCCGCGGUGGUGAUCCUAUUGGCGAAUAAUUUAGAAAACGGCACAGAGUUAGGAAACGUCACACUUAUUCGAUCGUCCAUCCGUUCUGGUGGUACCACUUUGAACAAUUUGGAGUCUACAACUACAGGUGUAACUGAAUCACCAACAACUGCUGGGCCAACAACUACAGGUACAACUACGUCACAAAAUACACCUGGACCAACAACUACAGAUGUAACUGAAUCACCAACUACACCUGGACCAACAACUACAGGUGUAACUGAAUCACCAACUACACCUGGACCAACAACUACAGGUAC